AUCAUCCAUUUUCGACGCUUUGAUUCCUUCCUAUCUGUAACUAACAACCUCAACAUUUUUACUCUGCUUCAACUUCCGCCACCGAUCUUUGCUGCUUCACAUUUCUGCUCCCGUUUGCUACAGAACAAGCAGCUUCAACUCUUUCGAUCGAUGGACCUUUUUCUCAGGUUUCAAGCUGGUAUAUUUACAUUUGUUUGCAGUUUCGGAUGAUGAGUUGAUUUGUGUUCUUUAACUGGUGGUAUAGAUUCUUCAAGUCUGGCUUUGUUUUUUUACCAGCUGGUCAUGAAUCCUGAUUCUUUUUUCCCUUCGAUUUGAAGAUCGGAAAUGCAUUUAUAAUCUGAAGCUUGUAAUUUUGUACGGUCGCUUGGGAUAUUGACGGAGAGUUGAAGGCAGAACGGAUUUGGAAACUAACUACGGUAAGUAAAUCUUCAUAGUCAGGUUAUCAAUUGAAUUCGCAGUAGAACCUUAAGUUGAUUUCAACCUGCCAGCUUAUGAUCGAUAGAUUUCAGGGAUUGUUGAGAUUCGAACAUCCCGACUAGCCAUAAUGACGAUUAAGAGCAUUUGAUAUUCUCGAAGGCAAUGAAAGAGCUUCACAGGUACACACUUUCCAUCUUUUCUUUCUUGAGGUUUGUGUCUCAAUCUUGUUUUCUUAAUAGUAUUUGUUGGUUAAUCUUGAAUGCCAAAUGAUUCUGUGUUUUUAAAAAGGUUUAUCAAGCAUUCAUAAGCAGACAUAAGUUGAUAUUGUAGAGAUUAGACAGAAACAGUUUCUUUUCAUUAGAUGGUGAUGAUCGGAAUUACAACCAAGUUAACAAGACAACUACAAGGGAAGAGUUUUUUCCAUAUUGACUAAAACCCGCCCGGCAAAGGAAAAAAAAGACCAGGGAAGAUUAAAAAGGACUGAAAUUGAAAACUAGUUCCAGCUCUGACUUUGAAAAUUAUAAGCUGGAACUCUAGUUACUUGCUUACUUCCUUUACUAGACACUUAUCUGUCCUGUCUAUUGACUCUAUGUAUGAGAUUAUCCACUACCGUCGUUCCCUCCUGUACUUGGUUCUUCAGUUGACUACCCCCCAGAUUUGGUUAAGAGAUCUACUUGAGCUAGACGACUUCCUCCACCUUGCUAACCGCAACAAAAAUGUCAAAACUUCGGAUGGAUCAACUAGGGAGUGAGAUGCCUUGGUUUCCUUAGGGCAGGAUGUUACUAUAAUCGGGUACCCUGUUCCUCUUCGUUGUAUUACCUGUGAUAAUAAAAAAUUCCAAGAUUUAACCAUUUUAGCAUCCUUGAAACAAUGCAGUAAGUUGUGGGUUUGUACUUCACAUACCUUGAAAGCAUCCUCAUCAGUUCGGUCAUCUCCAAUAUAGACUGGAAUAACGUCAGAGUUACUUAGUCCUAAUGUUUCUAAGAAAUAUUCCACAGCAUGACCUUUGUCCCACUCUAUUGUUGGCCUUAUUUCCAUAACCUAAGGGUAAAGAUAACAAGUGUUAGGGGUACUAGAUAGAAGGAUGUAAUUACUAAUAGUCUAAUACAGAUAGUUGCAGCUCAAUGGUGUUUGCGUUACCUUUUUACCCCAGCACAAGUGAAAGUCUGCAUACUUUUCCAGCACAGACUUAACUUUCUCCUCCAGAGAUGGAUAAUCCUGAAUUCGAAAACCAACCAUCGUCUUUAUUAGCCUACCAAUUUACAUUUCAUAUACGAACUCCUUAUAGUUAAAUAUAAAUUAUAGUGACAGAGUCAGGGGGUUAACCUCAUCAUUGACCUGCCGGAAAUGUACAGAGACGCAGAAGCGGUUAUCCUCCACCCUGGCACCUUUCACUUUUUCUGUUUCCUCCUCCAGCUCUUUCAAUAUCUAUUAAAAGAAUUGGAUAGAGUUAUAGCUAGGAUCAGAACAAUGGAUGCCGUCUAAUUUUAAAGACAUCAUCAAUAUCUUAAGCGUUCUGUUUUAGCUUUUUUACCUUCUCAAUUGUGGGCAAAAAUCUCUUUGCAGGUUGGAAGAGCACUUCAGUUCCCUGACAAAUUGAGCAGAGGCAGAGGCAUGUAAUUGAUUCGAAAUCACAAUCUUGUUUUGAAAGAGGACAUGGAAAAUCCUCUGGUUCUACUCACCUUUUUGUCCAUUACCAAAGUUGGGGAAUGGCCGUCACAAGACUUAACCGGCC
rnacentral:lncRNA from 1 species